rnacentral:lncRNA from 1 species
GCGGCGGCCGGCGCUCCAUGGCCGUGGCGCCUCGGUCUCGUGGGAAUAAGAGACGUGGGAGAGAGAGGAGGUGAGAUGGGGAGAAGAGAAGGCAGAGUAAGGACCGCGCGGAUUCUGGCGGUGGCUCCGGUCGGCGGAUCCAGGUAUGUGUCCCGACUCCUCUCCUCCCCGUAAAAAACGUUUGUCGCAUCGUUGCUAACUGCUAGAGAUGCCCUUCAUAAGUUCAUCCUGUGGCCAACAACAACCCCCAAGUCGCGUGAGAGUUCAGUGGCAUGGGCAUGCUCUCCCCUGAUUGAUUUUGUAUCAAAGAUUUUGUUGUGGCGUGUGGGCAGCACCCAUGAGUGUUGGAAGUACAUGUUCUAUAUACAUAAGAGCUUCUCUGGUGACUUACUCAUCUAAUGGUCAGAUACAAUUUUAGCAACAGUGAAUAGCCGCCUGAUAGUUUUGUUAUCUGCUUCUGAGUGUUCAUAAUGUGUAAAACGAAUCAACUUUACUAUGAUUUUACUUGAGAAGUUGAAUCUGCAAAGUCUUGAGAACAUUGACUAUAUACUCCAACACUGCAGGCCAACUCUUGAUGGAUUUCCAAUGUGGUACUGGCCUCCGAAUUUUUUCUGUCGUGUAGCCGCUCCCCAUCUCAGCGUGUGCUAUCCACGGAAGCCGGCUCCUCCACUCAGGCCCUCCUCUGCAACGCCGACGAGGACGCUACUUCGUCUGAACCGAUCUUCACGACCACGUGCAGGUAUACACAUGUGCUCCCCUGCCACCCCUGCACUGAUUUAAGGCGAAAUCCAAUUGGGAGUUAUUGAUAGGCACCAAUGUAUUCUUGGUUCAGUUCCCCUGUCUUGAAUUACGUUGAUCCUUUUGGUGAGAUCAAACUGAACAUGCUGAACAUCACUUGCCCAAACUAGCUGAACGCCUUGCUACAUUAUUGCCCAAUUUUGUAAAAUUGAUCAUAGCACUCCUGCUAUCAUGUCAUGUUUGCUAAUACUUAUUGAGCCAUAAAACGAUGUUUUCUGUUUAUAGGCUAGCCCUUCUUAUUAUGUUUCAGAAGAUCGAUAGUACCCAUUACAUUACUACAGUAUAGUGUAAUAUGAGAACCUGAGUUUUGGUUGCCAAGCAAAUGUUUGUGCUAAUUCCCACAAGAAAUUUUUGUUUGAAGAAUUAUUACUUCAUCAGGGAAAUAUCUUUUAUAUGGCUUCAUGAAAUCAAAUAUGACACUAGAUUUGCAGAAUGACUAAGCGACAUAGGAAACUGAUUUAGCACUACCUCAUUAAACAUGAAGACUUAUUCUUGAUUUUGUGCUGAUGUUUCAGAUGGAAUUUUUUUCAUAUGACAUUAGGGAUGUAGGAUGAUUGGGUGAACAAGCUUCCUGUGAAACAUCCAGAUCCCGGUGGCGGUGCCUCCGUUCAGCAUCCCACGCGGCGACGUCCUCCGGCAUAAUGGCAAACAUCGGCAGGGGAGAGAGAAGAGCGGGAGGGGUAUUGGGUCCAUACCAUUGUGGGCAUUGCCAGUGCCAUGAUUGUGGUUAAUACCCACAGGAGAUUCUAUUCCUGUGAGCGGAUUAAACAGAGUUGAGUAAACAUCAUCCAUAGGAGAUACAUGUGCUAAUUAAGUUUAGAGGAGAAAGUGGUUCUUUAUUCUUGUAAUUUUGGUGCAGAUGUCAUACAGGGGCAGAGAACAAUGGUCUUUUGGGAAUGCCUGAUAACUUUUUGGAGCUGCCAGGUAAAUUUUGGUACAAAUUUAUGUUAGUUCUACCUUUCCAUGAUGUUUAAUUGCUCGGUUCUUAAGGGUUUGUAACAGGAGAUGGAUUUUGGACUACUCUAUUUCGGAUGCCAGUAACGCGGAUCUGCAGAUGAAAAAUAAAACAGUGUGCAUGGUGUUUUUUUCUUACAGAAUACUUUUAUAUGCCGUGUUCUAUUUUUCUUGAGGUUUAGGACUAUUUGGUGUGCUACAUAAUCCAUGUUUUCAACUGCAAAUUUUUAGUUUUAUUAUUAUCAUAUUUACUAUUUCUCAGUAGUAAUACAUAACACGUCGCUGGUGAAAAGCCUACUGGAAAGAAUAAUUAGUCAAUAAUGUUGUCUUAAGAACAGUAGUAUUUGGCUCGAAGUAUAGGCACUGUCAAUUUUUUUAAAAAGUUCCAUGUUCACCACUAUUGCCAUCUGUUCCUAUUUGUUGGUUUUUCCUAUGGCAGUUUGGAGCAAGUGAUUGGCCUAUAAUCUAACUAAUAUUCAGGCUUGCUGAGAAUUUUUUACUACGAGAUAAGUAGAUGAUCAUUCAUUUAACCCACAGCGAAGAUAAAGUAGAUUAUGGUGACCGAACUGAGCACACGCUGACUUAGUGCUUCGACCCUUCAUGUUUAUGAUUCACUAAUUCUGGUCCUCCCAUUACUAUUGAACUAAAUUCAAAGUUGUUGCUAUGUCAAUUCGGUUGCCUGCUUGCCAUAGUUUAUCUCCCUAUUUUGUGCCAUGUUGAUUAGCUAAUUGGCAUGAGAAAGAAACAUUAUGCAUCUACAUGUAUCUUAUCUCUCUGAAGUCAUAAAAUUGUAGUGAGAUGCAGUGCCCACGAAAUUGGCAUGUUUAAAUAUUAAAUUUUCCUUUAAUGAUCGAUGAGACCUUUUAG